ACUUUUGCUGUAGUGGUAAUAUGCGAAUUAUAAAACCGGAGCAUGCGCACUUCAUCUGUGUCAUUGAAUAGGCCGUUAGUCUACUUUAUCGACCCUUAUAUGCGGUUGUCAUUCUUUAGGAAAAUAUUCUGAAGUGGCACCAUAAUGUUUCAUUAAUUGUUUAUAUUCUAUAUUAAUUGCCAAAAAAAAACAAUACCAGUGAGGCAAGAUUAGUUGACAGCUCUCGCUUUUUAAAAUCACUGUAUUGUGAGUGCGUAGCAUAGUAGGCUAGUAUCAAAGUGUGAUCAAAAUUUGCGUAUUUGUUAUGGUUUUCGCUGUUCUUUUUGCCUUGAUAGGUCUAUCAAAAUUAUCGUGAUUCUGGAGUAAGAAUAACGAAUGCAGAACUAACUUUUUAACUGAUCGGAACUGUCCAAUGAUGAGCGUAUGCAACACCACCAACAAUGAAAAAAAGGAAAGCUGCUACAGUUCAACCUAAUUUCCCAGCAGGAGCUCAAGUGCUGCCGCCCAUCACGGGUGUUGGACCUCUUGCUGGCUCUGCGGUGAAAUCAAGGCCGUCUUUGUCAUGUAAACAGACUAAUUGCUGAAAAUCAGCUACGCGUGCUCCGGAUGCGGGCACGUGGCGCAACUUGAGAGCGGCGUGACGCGUGACGCGUCAAGGCUAGUGUGCUUACGUCAGUUGGGAGAAGAAAAAAAAGCCGAUGAAAGUUUUAUUUAUGCGCUGCAGAGCCAAAGUCACCUUGUGCCAGCAAACCCGCAGUGAUUAUUACCGCAUGGAUGGUGACCUUUCGAGUGUUUGAAGUGCUGUGUGUGUGCGCGCCCACUAUCCCAUCCUGGUGUCGUCAUCCUGCAACCUGCAGCCGCAACGUAGCACCAGCAUCAUUGGGGUGUCUGGCACCGUUCGAUAGAACAGACAUAUUUCCUCCCGCGUUUGUUAAGCCAACUCGCAAUCGCAACAUCGGGGGAAGGCAAUCCAGCGCGCACCCCGGGGUACACUUCGGUCCACAAGGGUUUGCCUUUUUGUUGAUCGAGCCGGAUUAGGCGCUCAUUGUAGUGUUGUUAUUGAAUUUAGGAGCUCUUUCAAAUGGUGAAUAUCCGUUAAUAUGCACGUUUCUCCAUAGAUUCGAGUGGGAUGGGGAAAGUGCGAAGUAUAAACGAGAAUUAAGAAGGCAGGUAAUUUGCUUUUCAGUGUUCUUUUUUUGCGAGCAAUCUGUCAGUUUCGGCCCAGAAACUAUUGAAGAGGGUUGCGA